rnacentral:rRNA from 1 species
CCUACGGGGUGCAGCAGUGGGGAAUAUUGGGCCAUGGGCGCAAGCCUGACCCAGCAACGCCGCGUGAAGGAAGAAUGCUUUCGGGUUGUACACUUCUUUUCUCAGGGACGAAGAAAGUGACGGUACCUGAGGAAUACGCCACGGCUAACUACGUGCCAGCAGCCGCUGUAAUACGUAGGUGGCAAGCGUUAUCCGGAUUUAUUGGUUGUAAAGGUCGUGUAGGCGGGAGCGCAAGUCAGAUGUGAAAACUCAGGGCUAAACCCUGAGCCUGCAUUUGAAACUGUGUUUCUUGAGUGCUGGAGAGGAAAUCGGAAUUCCGGGUGUAGCGGUGAAAGGCGUAGAUAUACGGAGGAACACCAGUGGCGAAGGCGGAUUGCAGGACAGUAACUGACGCUGAGGAGCGAAAGCGUGGGGAGCAAACAGGAUUAGAUACCCUGGUAGU